GAUGAACGCUGGCGGCGUGCUUAACACAUGCAAGUCGAACGAUGAAGCCCAGCUUGCUGGGUGGAUUAGUGGCGAACGGGUGAGUAACACGUGAGUAACCUGCCCUUAACUCUGGGAUAAGCCUGGGAAACUGGGUCUAAUACCGGAUAGGAGCGUCCACCGCAUGGUGGGUGUUGGAAAGAUUUAUCGGUUUUGGAUGGACUCGCGGCCUAUCAGCUUGUUGGUGAGGUAAUGGCUCACGAAGGCGGCGACGGGUAGCCGGCCUGAGAGGGGGGCCGGCCACACUGGGACUGAGAGAGGGCGCAGACGGGUACGGGCGGCAGCGGUGGGGAAUACGGCGGAAUGGGCGCGAGCCUGAUGCAGCGGCGCCGGGUGAGGGAUGACGGCCUUCGGGGUGUAAACCUCUGUGAGUGGGGAAGAAGCGAAAGUGACGGUACCUGCAGAGGAAGCACCGGCUAACUACGUG
rnacentral:rRNA from 1 species